rnacentral:tRNA from 1 species
AGCUCAGUUGGUUAGAGCGCCGUUCUAAUGACGCGGAGGUCAUGAGUUCGAUUCUCUU